UACGGGGGGGGCAAGCGUUGUUCGGAAUUACUGGGCGUAAAGGGCUCGUAGGCGGCCAACUAAGUCAGACGUGAAAUCCCUCGGCUUAACCGGGGAACUGCGUCUGAUACUGGAUGGCUAGAGGUUGGGAGAGGGAUGCGGAAUUCCAGGUGUAGCGGUGAAAUGCGUAGAUAUCAGGAGGAACACCGGUGGCGAAGGCGGCUUCCUGGACAAAAACUGACGCUGAGGCGCGAAAGCUAGGGGAGCAAACAGG
rnacentral:rRNA from 1 species